rnacentral:rRNA from 1 species
GGAAUAUUGGACAAUGGGCGAAAGCCUGAUCCAGCCAUGCCGCGUGUGUGAAGAAGGUCUUCGGAUUGUAAAGCACUUUAAGUUGGGGGGAAGGGUAGUAACUUAAUACGUUGCUAUUUUGACGUUACCGACAGCAUAAGCACCGUCUAACUUCGUGCAAGCAGCCGCGGUAAUACGAAGGGUGCAAGCGUUAAUCGGAAUUACUGGGCGUAAAGCGCACGUAGGCGGCUCUGCAAGUCGGGUGUGAAAUCCCCGGGCUCAACCUGGGAACUGCAUUCGAUACUGCAUUGCACGAGUAUGGGAGAGGGAAGUGGAAUUUCCGGUGUAGCGGUGAAAUGCGUAGAUAUCGGAAGGAACACCAGUGGCGAAAGCGACUUCCUGGACCAAUACUGACGCUCAGGUGCGAAAGCGUGGGGAGCAAAC